GACGAACGCUGGCGGCGUGCCUAAUACAUGCAAGUUGAGCGCUCAAGGUUGGUGCUUGUUCCUCCUGGAUUAGCAGCGAACGGGUGAGUAACGCGUGGAGAAUCUGCCUUUGAGCGUGGGACAACUUCUGGAAACGAAUGCUAAUACCGCAUAAAAACUUUAACCACAAGUUUUAAUUUUGAAAGAUGCAAUUGCAUCACUCAAUGAUUAUCCCCGGUUGUCUUAGCUAGUUGGGUAGGUAAAGGCUCACCAAGGCGAUGGUACAUAACCGAACUGAAGAGGGGGAUGGGCACAAUUGGACUGGAACAAGGGCCAAACUCCCACGGGAAGCAGCAAGAAGGAAACCUUGGGAAUGGAGGAAAGUCUGAACGAGCAACGCCGCCGGAGUGAAGAAGGGUCUCGGAUCGUAAAAAUCUGGUGGUAAGGAAGAAACUUGGGGGGAAGGGAAAACGCAUGAAGUGACGGUAACUACCCAGAAAGGCACGGCUAACUACGUG
rnacentral:rRNA from 1 species